rnacentral:rRNA from 1 species
AUGACCAUAAUGGGAACGGCGCUCCUUCGUCUGCUACCUCUGCUGCUCCUCCUCCUCCCGCCUCCCCUCCGCCACUACCUCUCGCCAGCAAGCGGCGGUGGGGCCAGCCAGCUCAACGUCUACCACCCCAUCAUCCUGCUCCCUGGCUUCAGCUGCUCCAACCUCGAGGCACGGCUCACCGACGCCUACGCGCCGUCGCUGCCCCGCUGCGGUGCGCUCAAGGGCAAGGGGUGGUUCCCGCUGUGGAACGACACCUGGACCAUCGUCAACCACGAUUACCUGCCCUGCUUCGUGGAGCAGAUGAGCCUCGUCUUCGACUCCGACCUCGACGACUACCGCAACCUAGCCGGCGUAGAGACGCGUGUGCCGGACUUUGGCUCCGCCCACAGCGUCACCCCCAAGAACAACGCGGGUCGUGACAAAGUCUGCCUGAUAAAGCUCCGCGACGAGCUGGAAGCACUGGGAUACCGCGAUGGAGAUACCCUCUUCGGAGCUCCUUACGACCUACGACACGCUCCACCGCCGCCCGGCCAGCCAUCCCAGGUCUACUCCGAUUACUUCGCUCGUCUCAUGGGCCUGGUGCAGCACGCGAGCAAGAAGAACGGGGAUAAGCCUGUCAUCCUGGUCGCGCAUAGCUUCGGCGGCAGGGUCGUCCUGGACUUCCUCAACUCGACGCCCUUGCCGUGGAGGCGAAGGUUCAUCAAGCAUUUGUUCCUAAUCUCGCCCUCGCCCCCCACGGGCUACAUGCUGGCGGUCACCAACUUAGCCUCAGGAUCGUCCGCAGUCCAGCUCCCAACCGUCUCAUCGCUUGCCUUGCGGCCGAUGUGGAGGACCUUCGCGAGUUCCUUUCUGUCCAUGCCGGCUCCCAGGGUAUUUGGCCACAGGCCGCUCGUCGUCACCAAGGAGAGGAACUACUCGGCGUAUGACUAUCCUGAUUUCCUUGCGGCGCUCGGUUUCAGCACCGACGAGAUCGUGCGCUUCGUGAAACGGGUGCUCCCGACAAUGCUGCGCGUCGACGCGCCGAUGGUGCCGACUACGUACCUCAAUGGCAUUGGCUUCCGGACAAUGGAGCAGGUGAUGUACCUGGAAGGCAACUUCGAUGCCGCCACGGAGACGGUGUAUGGCCACGGAGAUGGGGCCGCGACUCUUGCUAGCAUCUUGGCGUUCGCUAGGGAGUUGGGUUCGCAACAACGACGAAACAACACAUUCUUCAAGUUCGUCAAGAUUCCUAAUGCUACGCACGCUGGCAUUGUCAUCGAGGAACAUGCACUCCGUAGGGUCAUGGCUGAGAUUCUACAAGCUAAUAAUAGCUAA